rnacentral:rRNA from 1 species
AGAGUUUGAUCCUGGCUCAGAACGAACGCUAGCGGCGUGGAUUAGGCAUGCAAGUCGAGCGAGAACGGAACUUCGGUUCCUAGUAAAGCGGCACAAGGGUGAGUAACGCGUGGACAAUCUGCCCUCGAGACCGGAACAACGGCGGGAAACCGCCGCUAAUGCCGGAUGGCCCUGCGGGAUGGCAUCUUCCUGCAGGUAAAGGUGGGGAUCUUCGGACCUACCGCUCGGGGAGGAGUUCACGUCCUAUCAGCUAGUUGGUGAGGUAAUGGCUCACCAAGGCGAAGACGGGUAGGCGGGCUGAGAGGCUGACCGCCCACACUGGGACUGAGACACUGCCCAGACUCCUACGGGAGGCUGCAGUCGAGAAUCUUCCGCAAUGGACGCAAGUCUGACGGAGCGACGCCGCGUGCGGGAUGAAGGUCUUUGGAUUGUAAACCGCUGUCAGGUGUUAGGAAACCGCAAGCAUUAAUAUUGCUUGCAUUGACAAAGGCACCAAAGGAAGUCACGGCUAACUCUGUGCCAGCAGCCGCGGUAAUACAGAGGUGGCAAGCGUUGUUCGGUAUCACUGGGCUUAAAGGGCACGUGGGCGGUCUGGCACGGUUCGGGUGAAAUCCCUCGGCUCAACCGAGGAACUGCCCGGGCAACGGCCAGGCUAGACGGCAUCAGGGGAAGGUGGAACUCCCGGUGGAGCGGUGAAAUGUGUAGAUAUCGGGAGGAACGCCGGUGGCGAAAGCGACCUUCUAG